rnacentral:rRNA from 1 species
GAUGAAGAACGUAGCGAAAUGCGAUACUUGGUGUGAAUUGCAGAAUCCCGUGAACCAUCGUGUNUUUGAACGYAAGUUGCGCCCGAAGCCUUCGGGCCGAGGGCACGCCUGCCUGGGCGUCACGCA